ensembl:ncRNA lncRNA:CR44944 long non-coding RNA:CR44944
UUUGGCCUCACAUCCCACUCUUUAUUUGGCUUAUGAGCAAUCCCCUUUGUUAGCCCAACGAUAUAUUAUAAAUUUCUUUUCGAGUUUUUCCGAGAUGUGGAGGGGAUUGGUCUAAGCCAAGCCGGGGAGAUAAGACAAGUUCACGGCACAUGCUGAGCACGCUAAUCAGGAAGUCAUUUUUAUUGGGGAUCCAGCAAAGAGGCAACAAAUGUGCUGCGCUUGACUUGUCCGCAAUAAUUAUGGCUGUUUGUUGCUGCGUUGAUAAGAACGUGGAAAUAAUUACGGCCUAGGCAAAAACUUUGAUCCGGAUGGGAAAACCGCCGCCAGAUUGGCGCCUACCAUGAAUAAACUGAAACUAAAUAACAAAUUUUAAUAUAGAUUAAAAAAUCAAAAGUACAGCAAACAAUGUCGCUUCAAAUUGCGGAAAUAUAACAAUUGUAUUGGCAUACUGUUAAUUUAACUGAUUUUAAGUAAGUUUAAGCAACAUUAAGCAUUUUUAAUGAAUAUUAAUUAAGGUUUUCUCAUCCGAAAGGAUUCCCAAACUGUCCCAUUAUGUUGGUCAUUCUCAGCUGAAACGAACUUUUGGUAUGCAAGUCGGAUGGAAAAUGUGUCAUCCUGAAAAGAAGUUGCUAAUUUCUUAUUCAAAUUAAAUAUGAGCGGCUGCUCCAGCCUUGGAGCUCUUGGAAAACAUAUCGGAAAACUCAAUUACGAAUUCAUUUCGCUUGUCAACUUUGACAUCCAGACAAACAAAGUCGGAGAAACAGAUAUGUACGCACAUCUAGGGGAUGGCAAACGCUGUUACUAAUUUCAGCUUGUAAACAUAUUUUAACAAAGAUGUCAACAACGUGUGAUGCACACCCACACCCAAAAACUGCGACUGAUGAGGGCACAACAAUUCCAUCUGGCCAAGUGAUAUAUGUCUUUCAUAUAGAAAUACCAUAAACAAUGUCAUUUGACAUGCAAAUUUAUUUAUGAAAAUAACAGACGCAGGAAAUACAGAAACAAAGCGUUGCGAGGAAACAAAAAAUCACGCACACACGCCCCAUGGAAAAUGAGCUGCUGAGCUAAGGAAAAACCAUGCGACAGCAAAGGGGAAAACCAGAAAGCGGCAAAAGAUUCAAGGAAAAACCAAAAGGCUAAGGAAACGGCAAGAAAAGGAAAUUCAAGCGUAAAGCGAAAGUAACUUAAGCAGCGGCAAACUGGGCAAAUAAAGUGUGCUGACGAAUGGGUGGUUGGGUUGUUGGGAGUGUGUUGGGUAAGGUCGUUGAGUGGGAGGGCAGUGGGUGGUUGAACCCGGACCACAAGGGGCAAGUUACGCCACUCACCCCCAACCAACACACACACGCACAUGCUGAAAAAUUCAACAGAAUGUGCCAUGGCAGAUAAUUUUUUGUGUAUCGAUCCCCAUCUCAAUCUCAUCCCCAUUGUUUUCCUGUACUGUCUUAAUAUUUCGGUUUAAGGGCAUUACAAUUUCC